rnacentral:rRNA from 1 species
UACAGAGGGUGCGAGCGUUAAUCGGAAUUAUUGGGCGUAAAGCGUGCGUAGACGGUAGCGUAAGUCAGAUGUGAAAGCCCCGGGCUCAACCUGGGAAUUGCAUUUGAGACUGCUCUGCUCGGGUGCGGAAGAGGGAAGCGGAAUUUCCGGUGUAGCGGUGAAAUGCGUAGACAUCGGAAGGAACACCAGUGGCGAAGGCGGCCCGCUGGGCAGUGGCUGACGCUGAGGCGCGAGAGCGUGGGGAGCAAACCGG